rnacentral:lncRNA from 1 species
CCCAUACUGAGAAUAGUCUAAAUAAUCUGUGACUAAAAGCGUCUCUCAUCUGGGAUCACUGUGAACACAAGCAAUUUCAGCUGACCCAACAAGCUAAACACAAACAUGUCAAGAUCUCAAUAGCACCAGAACAUUUGCUUUCAAUAUCCUGAGUGUGAAAUCUGGGCCAAUGGGCAACAUUUGGUUUGGUAAUUUGUAAUUGGUAAUGAUUUUGUUUUCCAGAUGUUUUUUUCUCUAAUUUUACUGCAGAGCGCAUACAAGUAUGUACUGGAAUUAAAAUGAUGAUAGGAAAGAACUCAGUAGCCAACUCCUGGUUUAUUGCAGCAGCAUAAACUGAUUUCCAAGACAAAAGCCAUUACUCCUCAUUUUCAUGGGUGUGAGAUAUAAACUCAGCCCAUUCUCUUAAGGAAACAUCUCCUGUAAACAAGUAAAUUAACCUUUGAGCCCUUUGAAAUUAAGUUUUGAGAGUGGUAGGGCAAGAGAGAGCACAGACUGUGAGGCUCUUCUCUCUCUUAGGCUGAAGGUUGUGCCUUCCAGAGGCAAAAAGCAAAGUGCCCCUCAGUACCCACUGCCCCAGGUAUUGAGGCUGACCACAACUGAUCCUUUUGAAGCUGCCACGAGCCCAGAGGGAAUCACAGCCUGCAGGAGACCCCCAAAACAAGGAACACAAACAGGUGAAACUUCAGGGGUCUGUGUCCCUGGCUUCCAGGCAAAGCAAUGUGGAAAGAUGGAUGAACAGAACUGCACCCUGAAAGUAAUCUGCUCAUGGAAACUAUCCUGGAAUAUUGGAUUGGGCCAGCUCUGUGAUGGUCAUGCCCAUUUUGAGACUCUCAUGUUAAUGCCACAAGAACUUCAGUCUCCUGUAUAAUAUUUCAGACAUGGAGGGGGAAAAAAAAAAGAAGAAAUAAAGAAAAGGAAAAACCAGCCGUCUGCA